AGCAGCCGCGGUAAUUCCAGCUCCAAUAGCGUAUAUUAAAGUUGUUGCAGUUAAAAGGCUCGUAGUUGAAUUUCGGGAUCAAUUUGCUGGUCGGAACCUCUGGUACGUACUGGUAUUAUUGAUUUCUUUCAUUCUGAUAGAUCAUGGAUGUCAUUAAUUUGAUGACUUUGAGGAAUCGGAACUUUUACUUUGAAAAAUUGAGUGUUUAAAGCAGGCUUAUCAGGCUUGAAUACAUUAGCAUGGAAUAAUGAAAUAGGACGAUUGAUCCUAUUUUUGUUGGUUUCUAGGAUUGACGUAAUGAUUAAUAGGGAUAGUUGGGGGCAUUAGUAUUCAAUUGUCAGAGGUGAAAUUCUUGGAUUUAUUGAAGACUAACUACUGCGAAGCAUUGCCAAG
rnacentral:misc_RNA from 1 species